rnacentral:rRNA from 1 species
AGAGUUUGAUCAUGGCUCAGGACGAACGCUGGCGGCGUGCUUAAUACAUGCAAGUCGGGCGAGGUUACUGUUUCGGAUCCCUUCGGGGUGAAGAAGCUUUAACCUAGCGGCGGACGGGCGAGUAACGCGUGGGUAACCUACCCCAAAGUCCGGGAUAACAGCGGGAAACCGCUGCUAAUACCGGAUGCCUUUACCUUGGGGCAUCUUGAGGUAAAGAAAGGCAACGCUUUGGGAUGGGCCCGCGUCCCAUUAGCUAGUUGGUGAGGUAACGGCUCACCAAGGCGACGAUGGGUAGCCGGCCUGAGAGGGUGGACGGCCACACUGGGACUGAGACACGGCCCAGACUCCUACGGGAGGCAGCAGUAGGGAAUAUUGCGCAAUGGACGGAAGUCUGACGCAGCGACGCCGCGUGAGCGAUGAAGGUCUUCGGAUCGUAAAGCUCUGUCCUUGGGGAAGAAGGCGAAAGCUUGACGGUACCCAAGAAGAAAGCCCCGGCUAACUACGUGCCAGCAGCCGCGGUAAUACGUAGGGGGCGAGCGUUGUCCGGAAUUACUGGGCGUAAAGGGUGCGUAGGCGGCCCUUUAAGUCGGAUGUGAAAGCCCGCGGCUUAACCGCGGAAUGGCAUUCGAAACUGGAGGGCUUGAGUGUCGGAGAGGGUAGUGGAAUUCCCAGUGUAGCGGUGAAAUGCGUAGAUAUUGGGAGGAACACCAGUGGCGAAGGCGACUACCUGGACGAUAACUGACGCUGAGGCACGAAAGCUAGGGGAGCAAACAGGAUUAGAUACCCUGGUAGUCCUAGCCGUAAACGAUGGGUACUAGGUGUGGGUGGUUUCGAUACCAUCCGUGCCGUAGUUAACGCAUUAAGUACCCCGCCUGGGGAGUACGUGCGCAAGCAUGAAACUCAAAUGAAUUGACGG